GGCUCUGGAAAAGGCCUGUUUCCUGGCAGGAGGAAAAGCCAGCCUUGGCUUCAAGCAGUCACUGACAAUUCCCAGCAUAUGGUAAGAGAGGGAGCUUCCGCCUACCCCAUCAGUUGUGAGCAAAAUGAUGAAGUUGGAUUCCCUUAGAUUUGACAGACAUUCAUCCUGAUCCGUAAUUCAUUGGGAGGACAGAUCUCAGGAGACUACUGUGACUUGAAAAAACCUUAGAAGGCAUAGAAAUACAUCCCUAAAAGCCUAGAAGAAGACUGAUACUGAGAAGCCUCCGGACGCCUUUCCACGAUUGCCUAUUCUUAUAGAACACUGGAAACAGUUUAAGUGCAGAGACACUGCCCCUGUCUCACCCUCUUUUGAUGACAAAUCUCCCCAAGGAGGAGAUAGCUUAGCUGUAGAUUGGAGAGCUGCCUUUGGUUCAACAGCAGGAUGCAAGCAUUUCUUUCUUGAGCUGCACUGUAUUUAUACUGCAACUUUGCCAAAUGUUGAUAAGGAGACACUGAUGUGUAAAACCUGAGCAUGUUUGAUCUUUGCUCCAAUCACUGCUGACAGCAGUACGCAUGCCUUCUCCUUCUCCCCAUCUCCCCCGAACAUAUUGGCCAAAGAAAUGAGUGGAAAAGAUUGGAAAGCAAGCACUUGUUAGCCAUAGCAGUGCUGACAAAUGCCAGUUCGGUCAGCGGCCAUGAAGUUUGAUCUCAAAGCAUAAGGAGUAUCAUGGAUGGGGAUCAGAGGAGCUUUCCAGGAACUAUUCUGGAUGCUGAACUGGAGAUUCCAGAAGCUGCUGCAGCAAAAAACCUGCCCAUAUCAUACUUCAACCACAUCCCAGGUCCUGCUGGACUGUGUGGAGAUAUUUCAUCUGGUAAGGAGCUGCAGUCAGGCACAGAAGUGAUGCUGACAGUGUCAGGAGGCAAGAAAAUUCAUACAGAAAGGGAGCAGGAAGGGGAUCUGAUUUCUAGUUAUUCAAAUGCUAAACAGGUGAAGUGACCUAGCAGCAGCCAGAGAGUCAAAGCAGGUUCUGAGGAUUAGAAUCCAGUUCAGCAUGCAGAAUAGUUCCUGGAAAGCUCCUCUGAUCCCCAUCCAAUUGAAAAGUUCUGGUUGGAAGGGACCUUCAAAGAUCAUCUAACUCCAACUGCCUGACCUAUUCAGGGCUAAUCAGAAGUUAAAGAGUACUAGUGAGGGCACUGUCAAAUGCUUCUUGAACACUGGCAGGCACUGGGUAUCACGGUUAUAACCUACCAGGCCAUGCUAAGACAGAGGAGCAUUUACUCCAGUAACAUGUGAGCUCACGGAAAUACUCUGCUAACGGCCAAUAACAUGAAGAAACAUACAUCUGAGGAUAAUUUCUUAGUUAUCUUAUUUCUGAAGCUGCUUUUUCAUUCAGUUUCAUUCAUUUUCCUUCUCCUGCCACCGUUAGGAGGUGCUGAAUGGAUGCUUUCUCCAGGCAGACACAUAUUACGCCAACUGAUACAGAAAUACAUUCACACAGGGAAUUCCUGAACCGCCUGUUAGUUUUAGAAAUAUUAUUCAAGAGCCAAAAUUAUGUGAUCCUUCUUGGAACACAAAGACCAUGAAAAUCAGUAAGAAUUUUCCUCCAUUGAAGAUCUGGAAGUCUGUGCCAUCUCUUAAUAUCCAACAGACUUCUCAACUAUCUGGUGUGAUUUUCUAAAUUGAAACAUAUGAUAGAAAUGGAAAGCUUAAUGAAGUUUCCUCAGCUUACUAAUUAUUCACUCUUUAUUUUUUUCUUCCCUUCCUUGCCUGACAACUGAAGAUUGCAGAGACAUAAACCUCCGAGGUUUGAGUUGCUCACAAAAUCCCUUUUUCUGUAUCCACACAGGUUAAGAUAAGAAAGAAAUGACAUCACUCAUGUAAUAAGAAUGCCAAAUGUCUGAACAAAAGAUCUGAUUUUUUCAAAUGAGUAUUUUUACCAUCCUGAGAUCGAUGAAUUAGUAGGGAUUUUAAUGUUAAGUCUCUGGCUACUAUUGCCACACUUCACUGACUAGGACCAGCAGCUAUUCCACCCAUUUGUAAUUUUAUUUCUUUACCAAGUGCUUGAUCAUGAGAAACAAUAACUGUCAGCAGCAUAAAUUCCCUCAGAACUUUCAAGAUGUACUCUGACUAAGUACAGAUCCAAUAACCUAACUGCUUCCAAUAUCUCUCAGGAUCAGUCUCUACCUGUUCAAGACUGAGCCAUAAUGUUCUGUAGAAUGCAACUGUCUACAGAAGUAGGAGCCUUCAAUAUAUCGGCGUAUGAAAUCAUUCCUAUUCCUCUGCAGUAGUUUGUAAAGUUUCCAAACUGCUUUCCAGGCUUUCUGAAUGAAAGCCACUAUAUAAGUGUAAGAUGCCAUUAUUAUUUAUUGUUUCAGUUUGACAGAAAGAUGGAGGGUUUCAUUUUGACUUUAUAUUUCCAUCUCCUCUCCACUUUGCCUUUGUUUCAUAACUUUAUGACAUGCAGGAUUUUCCUUUGUAUUCCUUCCAAGCUAUUAAGACAGAGAGGUUGGAAAUGCUGUAGACGCAAAUAAGUUUUUUAUUAUAGCAAUUUUUAAUUAUUGUGUUCUCAUCACAUAGGAGAUUAGACUA